rnacentral:rRNA from 1 species
GGGGGAAAUUUAGAUUUGCAUUGGAUUGAGAACAAUGUACAAAUGUUAUCGAUAAACAAUUGGAGGGCAAGUCUGGUGCCAGCAGCCGCGGUAAUUCCAGCUCCAAUAGCGUAUAUUAACGUUGUUGCAGUUAAAAAGCUCGUAGUUGAAUUGAAGUGAACUUGGAUUGAUGUGAUCUUCGGAUGACGUGAAUCAAAGUUGACUCUUUCCAAAGUCAAUACAUUGGUAUUCAUUUAUCUUUGUAUUGUGUUUGGUCAUUUACUGUGAGAAAAUUAGAGUGUUCAAAGCAGACGUUUGUUUGAAUACAUUAGCAUGGAAUAAUCAUAUAAGGCUUUCAUGUUGAUUUGAUUGGUUUGAAUAUGGAAGCAAGAUUAAAAGGGACAGUUGGGGGUAUUCAUAUUCAAUAGUCAGAGGUGAAAUUCUGGGAUUUAUGGAAGAUGAACAAUGCGAAAGCAA